rnacentral:rRNA from 1 species
AGAGUUUGAUCCUGGCUCAGGAUGAACGCUGGCGGCGUGCUUAACACAUGCAAGUCGAGCGAGAAAAGUUCUUCGGAGCUUUUCUAGCGGCGGACGGGUGAGUAACACGUGGGCAACCUGCCUCAUAGAGGGGAAUAGCCUUCCGAAAGGAAGAUUAAUACCGCAUAAUAUUGUUGAAAGGAAUCUUUUAACAAUCAAAGGAGCAAUCCGCUAUGAGAUGGGCCCGCGGCGCAUUAGCUAGUUGGUGAGGUAACGGCUCACCAAGGCGACGAUGCGUAGCCGACCUGAGAGGGUGAUCGGCCACAUUGGAACUGAGACACGGUCCAGACUCCUACGGGAGGCAGCAGUGGGGAAUAUUGGUCAAUGGGCGGAAGCCUGAACCAGCCAUGCCGCGUGCGGGAAGACGGCCCUAUGGGCUGUAAACCGCUUUUGCCUGGGGGCAAUAAGGGCGCCGAGCGCGUCCGAUGAGAGUACCAGGCGAAUAAGCAUCGGCUAACUCCGUGCCAGCAGCCGCGGUAAUACGGAGGAUGCGAGCGUUAUCCGGAUUUAUUGGGUUUAAAGGGUGCGUAGGCGGUUAAAUAAGUUUGAGGUAAAAGACCAUUGCUCAACAGUGGCACGCCUUGAAAACUGUUUGACUAGGAAGUAAACGGCGCAGGCGGAAUGAAUCAAGUAGCGGUGACAUGCAUAGAUAUGAUUCAGAACACCGAUCGCGAAGGCAGCUUGCGAGGAUACGAUUGACGCUGAUGCACGAAAGCGUGGGUAUCGAACAGGAUUAGAUACCCUGGUAGUCCACGCUGUAAACGAUGAUAACUAGAUGUUGGCGAUAGAAUGUCAGUGUCGGAGCGAAAGUGCUAAGUUAUCCACCUGGGGAGUACGAUCGCAAGGUUGAAACUCAAAGGAAUUGACGGGGGCCCGCACAAGCGGAGGAGCAUGUGGUUUAAUUCGAUGAUACGCGAGGAACCUUACCCGAACUUGAACGUAUAUUGAAUAACUUGUGAGAAUAAGUUAGUUAGCAAUAACGAUAUACGAGGUGCUGCAUGGUUGUCGUCAGCUCGUGCCGUGAGGUGUCAGGUUAAGUCCUAUAACGAGCGCAACCCCUGCACAUAGUUACCAGCACGUAUUGGUGGGGACUCUAUGUGGACUGCCAGCGCAAGCUGCGAGGAAGGCGGGGAUGACGUCAAAUCAGCACGGCCCUUACGUCCGGGGCGACACACGUGUUACAAUGGCGGAGAACAGAGGGGAGCCACGUGGCGACACGGAGCCGAUCCCGAAAAUCCGUCUCAGUUCGGAUUGGAGUCUGCAACCCGACUCCAUGAAGCUGGAUUCGCUAGUAAUCGCGCAUCAGCCAUGGCGCGGUGAAUACGUUCCCGGGUCUUGCACUCACCGCCCGUCAAG